rnacentral:rRNA from 1 species
UCCACGCCGUAAACGAUGAAUACUAGGUGUCGGGCGUCAAAACCCGGUGCCGCAGCUAACGCAUUAAGUAUUCCGCCUGGGGAGUACGCACGCAAGUGUGAAACUCAAAGGAAUUGACGGGGACCCGCACAAGCAGCGGAGCAUGUGGUUUAAUUCGAAGCAACGCGAAGAACCUUACCAGGUCUUGACAUCCCUCUGAAGUAGCCUUAGCCGGCUAUGUCCUUCGGGACAGGGGAGACAGGUGGUGCAUGGUUGUCGUCAGCUCGUGUCGUGAGAUGUUGGGUUAAGUCCCGCAACGAGCGCAACCCUUGUGUUUAGUUGC